rnacentral:rRNA from 1 species
GACGAACGCUGGCGGCGUGCUUAAUACAUGCAAGUCGAACGGAAAGGCCCUGCUUUUGUGGGGUGCUCGAGUGGCGAACGGGUGAGUAACACGUGAGUAACCUGCCCUUGACCUUGGGAUAACUUCAGGAAACUGGGGCUAAUACCGGAUAGGAGCUCCUGCUGCAUGGUGGGGGUUGGAAAGUUUCGGCGGUUGGGGAUGGACUCGCGGCUUAUCAGCUUGUUGGUGGGGUAGUGGCCUACCAAGGCUUUGACGGGUAGCCGGCCUGAGAGGGUGACCGGCCACAUUGGGACUGAGAUACGGCCCAGACUCCUACGGGAGGCAGCAGUGGGGAAUAUUGCACAAUGGGCGGAAGCCUGAUGCAGCAACGCCGCGUGCGGGAUGACGGCCUUCGGGUUGUAAACCGCUUUCGCCUGUGACGAAGCGUGAGUGACGGUAAUGGGUAAAGAAGCACCGGCUAACUACGUG